AUAAGACAACCAAUUGGCAACCAUGCUCAACGCGACAAUGCUUCUGAAAUACGGACUUGGAGAAGAAAAGGCAAUAAAGAGGAUUGAAGUUGCAGUGUUGGUUGUUCUGAACAACGGUUUCAGAACUUGAGACGUUUACUAUGUGGGAACAGAUGAUUGUAUGUCGAAUGCUUUUUACUUUAGAUGUUCAGUGGAUCUAGUACAGCCUUGCCCGACAGAGCAACCUACUUGCCCAUUUUGUCUUGGUAAAGUCUUAACCUUUAAAUUAUUCAAAUGUAUGCAGAAAUAUGGCUUAGUGUAGCGCUAGAAAAGUAGAAAGUGAGUACAGGUAUUAUUACUAAGAUUGACAGUAACUCUUUACUAUGUAGCAGACCUCCCUCAUUGCACCUUGAAACAUUUGAAUAUGUAACCUC